rnacentral:rRNA from 1 species
UACGUAGGGGGCAAGCGUUGUCCGGAAUCAUUGGGCGUAAAGAGCGCGUAGGCGGUCCGGUAAGUCCGCUCUGAAAGUCCGGGGCUCAACCCCGGGAGGCGGGCGGAUACUGCCGAGCUAGAGUCCGGAAGAGGCGAGUGGAAUUCCUGGUGUAGCGGUGAAAUGCGCAGAUAUCAGGAAGAACACCCGUGGCGAAGGCGGCUCUCUGGGACGGUACUGACGCUGAGACGCGAAAGCGUGGGGAGCGAACAGG